rnacentral:rRNA from 1 species
GCGAUUCGCCCUUCGGGGUGCCCAGGCGCGAAAACUUGGCAAUGCGGGAAACCGUGACAAGGGAACUCUGAGUGCCCGUUAAAUCGGGCUGUCCAUCGGUUUAAAUAACCGGUGAAGAAAGGGCCGGGCAAGACCGGUGCCAGCCGCCGCGGUAAUACCGGCGGCUCGAGUGGUGGCCACUAUUACUGGGCUUAAAGCGUUCGUAGCUGGUUUGUUAAGUCUCUGGGGAAAUCUUCCGGCUUAACCGGAAGGCGUCUCAGGGAUACUGGCAGACUAGGGACCGGGAGAGGUGAGAGGUACUCCAGGGGUAGGAGUGAAAUCCUGUAAUCCUUGGGGGACCACCUGUGGCGAAGGCGUCUCACCAGAACGGCUCCGACAGUGAGGGACGAAAGCUGGGGGAGCAAACCGGAUUAGAUACCCGGGUAGUCCCAGCUGUAAACGAUGCGCGUUAGGUGUAUCGGUGACCACGAGUCACCGAGGUGCCGAAGAGAAAUCGUGAAACGUGCCGCCUGGGAAGUACGGUCGCAAGGCUGAAACUUAAAGGAAUUGGCGGGGGAGCAC